rnacentral:rRNA from 1 species
CAGCCGUAAACUAUGCUCGCUAGGUGUCAGGCAUGGCGCGACCGUGUCUGGUGCCGCAGGAAAGCCGUGAAGCGAGCCACCUGGGAAGUACGGCCGCAAGGCUGAAACUUAAAGGAAUUGGCGGGGGAGCACAACAACGGGUGGAGCCUGCGGUUUAAUUGGACUCAACGCCGGACAACUCACCGGGGACGACAGCAAUAUGUAGGCCAGGCUGAAGACCUUGCCUGAAUCGCUGAGAGGAGGUGCAUGGCGUAGACGUCU